rnacentral:piRNA from 1 species
UCGUAGAACAACAAAUAAAUC